rnacentral:rRNA from 1 species
GAGUUUGAUUAUGGCUCAGGACAAACGCUGGCGGCGUGCAUAACACAUGCAAGUCGAACGAAAUCUACAUGAUUUAGUGGCGAACGGGUGAGUAACACGUGAGAAACCUGCCUUACACAGAGGGAUAGCCGUUGGAAACGACGAUUAAUACCUCAUGACACCGUGACAUCGCAUGAUGAUGCGGUCAAAGAUUUAUCGGUGUAAGAUGGUCUCGCGCCUGAUUAGCUAGUUGGUGGGGUAACGGCCUACCAAGGCGACGAUCAGUAGCCGAUCUGAGAGGGUGGACGGCCACAUUGGGACUGAGACACGGCCCAAACUCCUACGGGAGGCAGCAGUGGGGAAUUUUGCACAAUGGGGGAAACCCUGAUGCAGCGACGCCGCGUGAACGAAGAAGGCCUUCGGGUUGUAAAGUUCUGUCCUUGGUGAAGAUAAGGACA